CCUACGGGAGGCAGCAGUGGGGGAUAUUGCACAAUGGGGGGAACCCUGAUGCAGCGACGCCGCGUGGGUGAAGGAGUGCUUCGGCAUGUAAAGCCCUAUCGGCAGGGAAGAAGCAAGACGGUACCUGACUAAGAAGCCCCGGCUAACUCCGUGCCAGCAGCCGCGGUAAUACGGAGGAUGCGAGCGUUAUCCGGAUUUAUUGGGUUUAAAGGGUGCGUAGGCGGACAGUCAAGUCAGCGGUAAAAAUGCGGUGCUCAACGCCGUACAGCCGUUGAAACUGGCAGUCUUGAGUGGGCGAGAAGUAUGCGGAAUGCGUGGUGUAGCGGUGAAAUGCAUAGAUAUCACGCAGAACUCCGAUGGCGAAGGCAGCAUACCGGCGCCCGACUGACGCUGAGGCACGAAAGCGUGGGUAUCGAACAGGAUUAGAUACCCGAGUAGUC
rnacentral:rRNA from 1 species